UACAGAGGGUGCAAGCGUUAAUCGGAAUGACUGGGCGUAAAGGGUGCGUAGGUGGUUUGAUAAGUUAGGUGUGAAAGUCCCGGGCUUAACCUGGGGAUUGCGCCUGAUACUGUUAGACUAGAGUACUGUAGAGGAAGGUGGAAUUUCCGGUGUAGCGGUGAAAUGCGUAGAGAUCGGAAGGAACAUCAGUGGCGAAAGCGGCCUUCUGGCUCGCAACUGACGCUGUAGCGCGAAAGCGUGGGGAGCAAACAGG
rnacentral:rRNA from 1 species